rnacentral:rRNA from 1 species
UAGUCAUACGCUCGUCUCAAAGAUUAAGCCAUGCAUGUCUAAGUACAAGCACUUGUACUGUGAAACUGCGAAUGGCUCAUUAUAUCAGUUAUAGUUUAUUUGAUAGAUGCCCACUACAUGGAUAACCGUAGUAAUUCUAGAGCUAAUACAUGCAAGAAAGCCCGACUUCACGGAAGGGCUGUAUUUAUUAGAUAUAAACCAUCUCGGGACUUGUCCCGGUGUUGUGGUGAGUCAUAAUAACUAAGCGAAUCGCAUUGGCUUCGGCUGGCGAUGAAUC